AGUGACAAGAAAUAACAAUACGGGGCUUAACGCCUUGUAAUUGGAAUGAUGGGAACCUUAACCCCUUCCAGAGUAUCAAUUGGAGGGCAAGUCUGGUGCCAGCAGCCGCGGUAAUUCCAGCUCCAAUAGCGUAUAUUAAAAUUGUUGCAGUUAAAAAGCUYGUAGUUGAAUUUCUGCCGCAUCGYGGCGGCCCUCCCGGGCCCAGCGUUGCGKCUUAUUUCRGACUCGCUUGCGUCUCCGAAUGUUUACUUUGAGAAAAUWARAGUGCUCAAAGCAGGCCCUUGCCUUGAAUACUUUAGCAUGGAAUAAWAAAGUARGACUUUACUUCUAUUUUGUUGGUUUAGCGCCAAAGUAAUGGUUAAUAGGAACAGUUGGGGGCAUUCGGAUUUAACUGUCAAAUGUGAAAUUCUAAAAUCUUAGAUCUGAGUGAGUUGUAACACCUCACUCAAAGGAGGGAGCGGGUUUUUUUUAAUCAAGCACCACCCCCCAAUGAACAUGUGAGACAAGGCCAUUUUCACCACGAACCGU
rnacentral:rRNA from 1 species